AUGCUGGCUCUGGAGGUGCCAGGCAAUGGGAAACUCAGGGAAGGACCGAGCUUCAGAGGACCUGGAAACAGGUUAGCCCGCCGGUGCAGGAAGAGGAGAGAGGCAAGCAACGAAUCUCCUGAGUUUCAGGAACAGAUUGCUCAAAAACCAAACGACUGUUGCGUGAAAUGCGAGUGGGGAAAGGAGUGAGAUGAAGGGAACAGAGCCCUUCCAAACUCGCCCUUCAGCCUUCCCACCCAAUCAGAAAGGAAAUCAGUCAUGCCCACAAUCCUGCCAAUAACACAGUGUAGCGGCUACGUUCUUUGGACGAAUGACAGCGAGCUGUGGAAGAAAUCUGGUUUGGAGAAGAGACGGGGGCUUGUGUUUACUGAACAUCUACAGCAAAUCAGGCCCUGUGCUUUCUUUUGCAUCCGUUCUCUUCUAAAGGGGAAUCAGGAUCCUGGCUGAGGGACCCUGGACUAUUUCACCUUUCAGGAUCUCAGUUUCCUUAGACUAAAAACAUGAAUUCCUAUUUUUUUUUUUUUGCGCUUUUUAAAAAUUAAACUUUAGGUUCUGGGGUGCAUGUGCAAAACGUGCAGGUUUGUUACAUAGGUAUACAAGAGCCAUGGUGGUUUGCUGCACCCAUCAACCCAUCAUCUACACUAGAUAUUUCUACUGAUGCUAUCCCUCCCCUAGCCCCCCAACCCCAAGACAGGCCCUGGUGUGUGAUGUCCCCCUCCAUGUGUCCAUGUGUUCUCAUUGUUCAACUCCCAUUUACGAAUGAGAACAUGUGAUGUUUAAUUUUCUGUUCUUGUGAUUUGCUGACAAAGAUGGUUUCCAGCUUCAUCCAUGUCUCUGCAAAGGACAUGAACUCAUCCUUUUUAAUGGCUGCAUAGUAUUCCAUGGUGUAUAUAUGCCACAUUUUCUUUAUCCAGUCUAUCAUUGAUAGGCAUAAUUCCUAUUCUUU
rnacentral:lncRNA from 1 species